CAGGCUUAUCUCCCCCAAGAGUCCACAUCGACGGGGAGGUUUGGCACCUCGAUGUCGGCUCAUCGCAUCCUGGGGCUGGAGUAGGUCCCAAGGGUUGGGCUGUUCGCCCAUUAAAGCGGUACGCGAGCUGGGUUUAGAACGUCGUGAGACAGUUCGGUCCCUAUCCGCUGCAGGCGCAGGAGAACUGAGGGGAGUUGCCCCUAGUACGAGAGGACCGGGGUGAACGGACCUCUGGUGUGCCAGUUGUCCCGCCAGGGGCACGGCUGGUUAGCCACGUCCGGAUCGGAUAACCGCUGAAAGCAUCUAAGCGGGAAGCCGACCCCAAGAUGAGUUCUCCCACCGGGAAACCGGGUAAGACCCCUCGUAGACCACGAGGUUGAUAGGCCGGAAGUGGAAGCGCGGCAACGCGUGGAGCUGACCGGUACUAAUAGGUCGAGGGCUUGGUUCCUA
rnacentral:rRNA from 1 species